rnacentral:tRNA from 1 species
GCCUGAGUGGCUCAGUCGGUCAAGCGUCUGACUUCAGCUCAGGUCGUGAUCUUCUGGUUCACGGGUUCGAGCCCUGCAUCGGGCU